rnacentral:rRNA from 1 species
CAGUCGCCACGGUAAUACAGAGGGUGCGAGCGUUAAUCGGAUUUACUGGGCGUAAAGCGUGCGUAGGCGGCUUUUUAAGUCGGAUGUGAAAUCCCUGAGCUUAACUUAGGAAUUGCAUUCGAUACUGGGAAGCUAGAGUAUGGGAGAGGAUGGUAGAAUUCCUGGUGUAGCGGUGAAAUGCGUAGAGAUCUGGAGGAAUACCGAUGGCGAAGGCAGCCAUCUGGCCUAAUACUGACGCUGAGGUACGAAAGCAUGGGGAGCAAACAGGAUUAGAUACCCCGGUAGUCCCUGUCUCUUAUAC